GGACUACCGGGGUUUCUAAUCCCGUUUGCUCCCCUAGCUUUCGCGCAUCAGCGUCAGAAGAGGUCCAGGAGCUCGCUUUCGCCACCGGAGUUCCUUCCAAUAUCAACGCAUUUCACCGCUCCACUGGAAGUUCCAGCUCCCCCUACCUCCCUCCAGCCGAUCAGUAUCCAAGGCACUUUUCCGGUUAAGCCGAAAGAUUUCACCCCGGACUUGAUCGACCGCCUACGCGCCCUUUAAGCCCAGUGAUUCCGAACAACGUUUGCACGGUUCGUCUUACCGCGGCUGCUGGCAC
rnacentral:rRNA from 3 species